CCUACGGGUGGCAGCAGUGAGGAAUAUUUGUCAAUGGACGAGAGUCUGAACCAGCCAAGUAGCGUGAAGGAUGACUGCCCUAUGGGUUGUAAACUUCUUUUAUAUGGGAAUAAAAUGUUCCACGUGUGGGAUUUUGUAUGUACCAUAUGAAUAAGGAUCGGCUAACUCCGUGCCAGCAGCAGCGGUAAUACGGAGGAUCCGAGCGUUAUCCGGAUUUAUUGGGUUUAAAGGGAGCGUAGGUGGAUUGUUAAGGCAGUUGUGAAAGUUUGCGGCUCAACCGUAAAAUUGCAGUUGAAACUGGCAGUCUUGAGUACAGUAGAGGUGGGCGGAAUUCGUGGUGUAGCGGUGAAAUGCUUAGAUAUCACGAAGAACUCCGAUUGCGAAGGCAGUUCACUGGACUGCAACUGACACUGAGGCUCGAAAGUGUGGGUAUCAAACAGGAUUAGAUACCCGAGUAGUC
rnacentral:rRNA from 1 species